AGUGAACGCUGGCGGUAGGCCUAACACAUGCCAGUCGAACGGCAGCACAGUAAGAGCUUGCUCUUACGGGUGGCGAGUGGCGGACGGGUGAGGAAUAAAUCGGAAUCUACUUUUUCGUGGGGGAUAACGUAGGGAAACUUACGCUAAUACCGCAUACGACCUACGGGUGAAAGCAGGGGAUCUUCGGACCUUGCGCGAUUGAAUGAGCCGAUGUCGGAUUAGCUAGUUGGCGGGGUAAAGGCCCACCAAGGCGACGAUCCGUAGCUGGUCUGAGAGGAUGAUCCGCCACACUGGAACUGAGACACGGUCCAGACUCCUACGGGAGGCAGCAGUGGGGAAUAUUGGACAAUGGGCGCAAGCCUGAUCCAGCCAUACCGCGUGGGUGAAGAAGGCCUUCGGGUUUUAAAGCCCUUUUGUUGGGAAAGAAAAGCAGCAGGUUAAUACCCCGCUGUUCUGACGGUACCCAAAGAAUAAGCACCGGCUAACUUCGUG
rnacentral:rRNA from 1 species